AACGAACGCUGGCGGCAUGCCUAACACAUGCAAGUCGAACGAACCCUUCGGGUUAGUGGCGCACGGGUGCGUAACACGUGGAUAACCAACCCAUUGGUUUGGGACAACACCGGGAAACUGGUGCUAAUACCAGAUGUGUCGCAGCUGUCUUCAGGCGGUUGCGAGAAAGGCCCGCAAGGGUCGCCAACGGACGGGUCCGCGUCCCAUCAGCUAGUUGGUGAGGUAAUGGCUCACCAAGGCAAAGACGGGUAGCUGGUCUGAGAGGAUGAUCAGCCACACUGGAACUGAGACACGGUCCAGACUCCUACGGGAGGCAGCAGUGGGGAAUAUUGCGCAAUGGGCGAAAGCCUGACGCAGCCACGCCGCGUGAGCGAUGAAGGUCUUCGGAUCGUAAAGCUCUGUGGGGGGAGAAGAAGAAAGCCGGUGAAGAGCCGGCCCUGACGGUAUCCCCUUAGCAAGCACCGGCUAACUCCGUGCCAGCAGCCGCGGUAAAGUGUG
rnacentral:rRNA from 1 species